rnacentral:lncRNA from 1 species
AAUUUGACUAAAAUUCACUUAUAACUUUUACAAUAACUUAUCGUAUGGAUUUUGUUAUAACAAAGCAUUGGUACACCGUAUAAUUGUAAUUCAAUGAGCACAUUAUAAACAUUAUGUUGUACUGUUACACCACUGUCCAAGGUUAGGAGAGGGUCGGGCGCCAACUAACAUGUUUAGCCCCGCCACACUCUGUAUGUUCCUGUCCCAUGUCAGGAGCCUGUACUUCAGUGGUUGUUAUUUGUUGCUAAGUUUUUCGUUCAGUAUUUUGUAGAUAAACUAGGCCGUCAGUUU